GUCCCGCAACGAGCGCAACCCCUAUCUUUAGUUGCUACCAUUUAGUUGGGCACUCUAAAGAGACCGCCGGUGAUAAGCCGGAGGAAGGUGUGGAUGACGUCAAGUCCUCAUGGCCCUUACGGGUUGGGCUACACACGUGCUACAAUGGUAAUGACAAUGGGUUAAUCCCAAAAAGUUAUCUCAGUUCGGAUUGGGGUCUGCAACUCGACCCCAUGAAGUCGGAGUCGCUAGUAAUCGCAGAUCAGCAACGCUGCGGUGAAUACGUUCCCGGGCCUUGUACACACCGCCCGUCAA
rnacentral:rRNA from 1 species